GGCAUUGAUGUUGUCUGUGCAGGAUUGGUUGUAGUCGGAAGAGCAGAAGAUACAGAUGUUGGUCUUGAAUUAAGUAGCAAUGAUGUUUUUGUCUCUGCAGGAGUGCUUGUAGUCUGUAGAGUAGAAUAUGCAGGAGUUGGGGUUGAAGUGCGUCGUAAUGAUGUUGUCUGUGCAGGAGUGCUUUUAGUCGGAGGAGCAGAAGAUGCCGGAGUUGGGCUUGAAGUGCCUGGCACUGAUGUUGUCUGUGCAGGAGUGCUUGUAGUUAGAAGAGCAGAAGAUGCAGGACUGGGGC
rnacentral:lncRNA from 1 species